rnacentral:rRNA from 1 species
GAUGAACGCUAGCGGCAGGCUUAAUACAUGCAAGACGAACGGUAAGAUUUGUAGCAAUACGAAUCCUAGAGUGUCGUAAGGGUGCGUAACACGUAUGCAAUCUGCCCUGUACAGGAGUAUAGCUCGGGGAAACUCGAAUUAACCCUCCAUAAGAUCUUAGGGUGGCAUCACCCAGAGAUUAAAACUACGGCGGUACAGGAUGAGCAUGCGACUGAUAGCUAGUUGGCGGGGUAACGGCCCACCAAGGCAAUGAUCAGUAGGGGAACUGAGAGGUUGACUCCCCCACACUGGCACUGAGAUACGGGCCAGACUCCUACGGGAGGCAGCAGUAGGGAAUAUUGGACAAUGGGUGCAAGCCUGAUCCAG